ensembl:lncRNA
CUCUGUCUCUCUCUCUCUCUCUGUCUCUGUCUCUCUCUCUCACACACACUCUCGGUCUCUCUCUCUCACACACACACACUCUCGGUCUCUCUCUCACACACACACACACUCUGCCUCUCUCUCUCAGACGCUCUCUCUCACACACACUCACAGUCUCUCUCUGUCUCUCUCACACACACUCAGUCUCUCUCUGUCUCUCACACACACUCACACUCUGUCUCUCUCACUCACACUCUCUCUGUCUCUCUCUCACACACACACUCUCUUGCUGUCUCUGUGUCUCACACACACACACACACUCUCCCUGUCUCUCUCUCACACACACUCCUGCUAAAGCAACGAUGCCUUAUUCAACUUUUUUCAACUUUGUCUGUUGUCUUUUUGUUCUAAGUUAUAUACGAUAAAAGCUACAAAAUGAAGUUCUGCCAGUGUGUUUAAACCUGAAACACACACACACACACACACACACAGACACACACACACAGAGCUCGGGGUGUAUCUGCUAUGCACACGAUUCUGACACUGCAGAGAAAACUCGCUGUAUAUAACGCUAACAUGGCCUUUUGUUCUUCGUUUGUAAAUGAUUUCCUUUUUUUUUUAACGUCUUUACGGUUUUGUAAGAAAAGAAAAACUUAGGAAGGCAAAAAAUAAAUAAAUAAAUAAAUGCAGUGCAAAUGAACUUUAUAUUCCGGUUAUAUCUCGCAAACUUUGCGACUCGAUAGUAAUAUUAAUAUUUCCAGUUUUUUUAAAAGGCAGUUUAUCCACACUAAUGUCCAGACGUUGUUUUUUUGUUGUUGUUUUUGUUUAGUUUUGUUUGUUUGUUUCAAACGUUUACCGCGACGUUUUUACACUUUCUUUUGAAACCAAGAAGAAAAUACUCACCUGGAGUUCAACACGCCUCUGAUACGUGUGUCGCUCUGCUUCCGCUCGUUUAUCUGUAACGCUGUUUACGUGCCCUGAAAUGUAUUUUUUUACUAAUAGAUGAUUUAUUAUUAUUAUUGUUUAUUAUUAUUUUUAUGGCACACCAAUAAGAUAUAUCCUUUUUUUUUUUUCCUUUUAAAUAACACUGCUUCAGUUGAAUAUUAGAUCUUCACACACGUGACUUUCCUUCUUUUCAAUACAGGUAUGCCAUUAUAUCAAUUAAUAAAACCAUUUUUCAAAUAAGUCUUUUGUUUGUUUUGUUUGUUUUGUUUGUGUAUGGACUAGAAAGGGUAUCGAAACGCGUAACACAUCCAGAGGACGAAGAGAUAUUCUUGUCUAGUAAAAAUAAAAAAAACUGAUCUUGGAGCUUGAGAUUGUCUCUUGCAUAUUUCGAGCAUUACUCUGUCCACGGAGCGAUCUCUUUAAACUUUAAGACGAGUAAACCAUCCAGAAACGCGUUCCGGUCGUUUAGAUUUACAUGUUCUCGUUUAGAUUUGUUUCGUGAGAGAUGAACGUAUUUCCUGACAUUUUUGCGGCGCACGCCCGAUACGCUUCGUAGACGUCUGAGGGUUUCUGGCCUCGCUCGAGGGUUCUACUUGGAGACACUUUGUUCUUGAAUGUUUACGUAUUAGUUGUGUAUCGUUUAAGUAUUAGUUACCGGACGGUAUGUUUCAGAGGGCGUGCGGAUUGAUUAGUGGUUAGAACGUGCGCCUCACACUUCUAGGGUCGGGGGUUCGAUUCCCACCACUGCCCUGUGUGUGUGUGUGGAGUUUGCGUCUUCCUCCAGGGGUUUCCUCGGGGUACUUCGGAGGAGUCCGAAGACGUGCGUGGUAGGCAAAUUGGCGUGUCCAGAGUGUCCGUAGUGUAUGAACGGGUGUGUGUGUGUGUGUGUGUGUGUGAUUGUGCCGUGCGAUGGAUUGGCACCCUGUCCAGGGUGUACCCCGCCUCGUGCCCCAUGCUCCCUGGAAUAGGAUCUGUAACCCUGUAGGAUAAUCGGUAUGGAAGAUGGAUGGAUGGAUGUUAUAUUUUGGGGAAAUGCAUCCAUAUAAUACAAACAUAACGUCAACAAACUUGAACAUGAAUUCAACACGAUCACCUUCUCCGUUCUCAGUCUUGUUUGGUCGAUUGAAAGGAAGGAAUAUUUAGUAAUGUUUUCAUCUCCCAGGUCUUCACAGGGCCUACAAGUGUUUCAUGCAUGCUAGUCCUUCCCCUAACGCAGUGUCCUGGAAAUUCUCCAGUGCCUCAAGGACGACGAGAUCGAGACUCCUCCUCAACUCCUGAAAAUACAUGCACGUGACCUCCGGGUACAUGCCAGAUGUCUCCACAUCUACACCUGGACGCUCUUCUUAAGGUUAAAUCUUGUGAAAUCCAGACUUCGAAGUCUGCGUAAAGAAGAGAGGCGCUCUGACCUGCUGCUCCUCUCAGUCGAGUCGAAUAUUUAAAAACUACAGACAGACAGACGAGUGCUGCUUUAAAUACAGGGCAUUUAUUUCAUCAGUAGUUCCAUGCUUAAAUACUGUAAAUAAAUAAAAUACAUCUCGUUAUGUACAUUACAGUAAUAAUUAUUGUUGUUUUUAUUUAUUUAUUUAUUUAUUUAUUUAUCCUGCCCCAGAGGAGGUCUGUGCGUGCUGCUGUGAGGCCAGGAGAGCAACUCGGUAUGUUCCAUGUGUCCAGAGACAGGGGGCGCUCUCUUACCACUCUACUCAUUCAGUAAAGCAGAUGGGUGUAAUGCAGAGUCCUGGUACAAACAAAUGACCAGCAAUUCUCUCUCUCUCCCUCCCUCUCUCUCUCUCUCUCUCUCUCUCUCCCUCUCUCUCUCGCUCUCUCGCUCUGCUGACUCACCUGAUGAGGCCUCUUCUGAUUUAUAUUCCUUACCUCAGAGUGUUAUAUGCAUUUUUGUUUAAGGGGUGCCAUUAAUUUUGUCACGUCUGCUUUUAGAGAGAAAAUAAUACUAAUUAAAAUGUUUUUGUUUGUGAAAACUUUAUUUUAUAUGAUUAUUUUUCAGAGGGUGCCAAUAAUUUUGGAGCUGCCUGCUUUUUUUGUGUGUGUGAUUUAAACGUGCGAUAUUUGAUCAAUCAAACACUUACUGAUAUUAUGCUGACUACUUGUGGAUUAGGGUGUGUGUGUGUGAGUGUGUGUGAGUGUGUGUGAGUGUGUGUGAGUGUGUGUGAGUGUGCCCGAGCUCAGUGCUGAGACACUGCACUGUUUCACUCAUUAAUCCCUCUUUCCCUCUCUCCGCUCAUCCAGAGAGAGACCAUCCAUGUGAAACUAGUCAAAUC